rnacentral:rRNA from 1 species
UACGUAGGGUGCAAGCGUUAAUCGGAAUUACUGGGCGUAAAGCGUGCGCAGGCGGUUCGGAAAGAGAGGUGUGAAAUCCCAAGGCUUAACCUUGGAACUGCACUUCUAACUACCGGGCUAGAGUACGUCAGAGGGGGGUAGAAUUCCACGUGUAGCAGUGAAAUGCGUAGAGAUGUGGAGGAAUACCGAUGGCGAAGGCAGCCCCCUGGGAUGAUACUGACGCUCAUGCACGAAAGCGUGGGGAGCAAACAGG